GAUGAACGCUGGCGGCGUGCUUAACACAUGCAAGUCGAGCGAAGCACUUAUGAAAGAUUCUUCGGAUGAUUUCAUUUGUGACUGAGCGGCGGACGGGUGAGUAACGCGUGGGUAACCUGCCUCAUACAGGGGGAUAACAGUUGGAAACGACUGCUAAUACCGCAUAAGCGCACAGUACCGCAUGGUACCGUGUGAAAAACUCCGGUGGUAUGAGAUGGACCCGCGUCUGAUUAGCUAGUUGGUGGGGUAACGGCCUACCAAGGCGACGAUCAGUAGCCGACCUGAGAGGGUUACCGGCCACAUUGGGACUGAGACACGGCCCAAACUCCUACGGGAGGCAGCAGUGGGGAAUAUUGCACAAUGGGGGAAACCCUGAUGCAGCAACGCCGCGUGAGUGAAGAAGUAUUUCGGUAUGUAAAGCUCUAUCAGCAGGGAAGAAAAUGACGGUACCUGACUAAGAAGCCCCGGCUAACUACGUGCCAGCCGCCGCCGUAA
rnacentral:rRNA from 1 species